rnacentral:tRNA from 1 species
UGUAGCUCAGUGGUGGAGCACUUGCCUACCAAGAGCAAGGGGCCUGGGUUCCAUUCCCAGCA